GAAGAUGCAGCAGAGAAAUUCGACAAUUGGAAGGCCUUCUGGGACGGAUGGCUCAGAUUACUCAUACCGUAUGGUCGUUGAUUCACGGUAUCAGCUGGUAGCGAAGGGAAAGAAACGCCUUUCUGGACUUCUACCUCUUCAGUUGCUGCAGUCUUCAUCUCCAUGCUGAAAAAUAUGAUGGAUCUGCGGCUUUUGGGGCCAAGAUAUUGAAGAGCCAUGUUUUCUCUGUUCUUGAAGCUUCUCUACCGUUGUAUCCCUUUAUUUUGUGGUUCUUGAGUUCUGUGUCUUGUAUUUCUAUAUCCUAAUCCAUUCAACCUGUGAAUGUGAUAGGAUCUUUUCAUUAUAUUUCUAUCAGUUUAAUAGAAGAGCAUUUCUUUGUGUCAUUUUGGCCUGGUUCCAUCAAAAUAUAUUCAAGUUGUGGGGAUGCUAUAAGCUUCAAAGUAUAUAAUCAUGUUCAACCUUA